GACGAACGCUGGCGGCGUGCCUAAUACAUGCAAGUAGAACGCUGAAGAGAGGAGCUUCCUCUUCUUGGAUGAGUUGCGAACGGGCGAGUAACGCGUAGGUAACCUGCCUUGUAGCGGGGGAUAACUAUUGGAAACGAUAGCUAAUACCGCAUAACAAUGGAUGACACAUGUCAUUUAUUUGAAAGGGGCAAUUGCUCCACUACAAGAUGGACCUGCGUUGUAUUAGCUAGUAGGUGAGGUAAUGGCUCACCUAGGCGACGAUACAUAGCCGACCUGAGAGGGUGAUCGGCCACACUGGGACUGAGACACGGCCCAGACUCCUACGGGAGGCAGCAGUAGGGAAUCUUCGGCAAUGGGGGCAACCCUGACCGAGCAACGCCGCGUGAGUGAAGAAGGUUUUCGGAUCGUAAAGCUCUGUUGUAAGUCAAGAACGGGUGUGAGAGUGGAAAGUUCACACUGUGACGGUAGCUUACCAGAAAGGGACGGCUAACUACGUG
rnacentral:rRNA from 1 species